rnacentral:rRNA from 1 species
CCCCUAGAUGUUCUGGGCCGCACGCGCGCUACACUGAACAGUUCAACAAGUCUUAACCUUGGCCGAUAGGUCUGGGUAAUCUUUGAACGCUGUUCGUGAUUGGGAUAGACCUUUGCAAUUAUGGGUCUUCAACGAGGAAUUCCUAGUAAACGCAAGUCAUCAGCUUGCAUUGAUUACGUCCCUGCCCUUUGUACACACCGCCCGUCGCACCUACCGAUUGAAUGGUCCGGUGAAAUCUCGGGACGGCGGCUUGGUCGCUUGCGUCCGACUGCUGAAACUUGAUUAAACAAGAUCAUUUAGAGGAAGGUGAAGUCGUAACA